AUACGUAGGGGGCGAGCGUUAUCCGGAUUUAUUGGGCGUAAAGCGUGUGUAGGCGGUUUGUUAAGUUUAAGAUUAAAGCCCGAGGCUUAACCUCGGUUCGUCUUAAAAACUGGCAGACUUGAGUGCAGUAGGGGCAAGUGGAAUUUCUAGUGUAGGGGUUAAAUGCGUAGAUAUUAGAAGGGACACCAGUGGCGAAGGGGGCUUGCUGGGCUGUUACUGACGCGGAGACACGAAGGCGUGAGAAGAAAAUAGGAUUAGAUACCCUAGUAGUCCACGCCGUAAACGAUGAGUUCUAAGUGUCGGGUAACCGGUGCUGAAGUUAACACAUGAAGUACUCCGCCUGAGUAGUACGGUCGCAAGGCUGAAACUCAAAUGAAUUGACGGGG
rnacentral:rRNA from 1 species